GGGGGGUGCGAGCGUUGUCCGGAAUCACUGGGCGUAAAGGGCGCGUAGGUGGUUUGAUAAGGGUGUGGUGAAAGCCCGGAGCUCAACUCCGGGUCUGCCGUGCCGACUGUCAAACUCGAGGACUGUAGAGGCAGACGGAAUUCCGGGUGUAGCGGUGGAAUGCGUAGAGGUCCGGAGGAAGACCGGUGGCGAAGGCGGUCUGCUGGGCAGUUUCUGACACUGAGGCGCGACAGCGUGGGGAGCAAACAGGAUUAGAUACCCUGGUAGUCCACGCCGUAAACGAUGGGUACUAGGUGCCUGGGGGAGCGACCCUCUGGGUGCCGGCGCUAACGUAGGAAGUACCCCGCCUGGGGAGUACGACCGCAAGGUUG
rnacentral:rRNA from 1 species